UACGAAGGGGGCUAGCGUUGCUCGGAAUUACUGGGCGUAAAGGGCGCGUAGGCGGACAGUUUAGUCAGAGGUGAAAGCCCAGGGCUCAACCUUGGAAUUGCCUUUGAUACUGGCUGUCUUGAGUUCGGGAGAGGUGAGUGGAAUGCCGAGUGUAGAGGUGAAAUUCGUAGAUAUUCGGCGGAACACCAGUGGCGAAGGCGACUCACUGGCCCGAUACUGACGCUGAGGCGCGAAAGCCAGGGGAGCAAACGGG
rnacentral:rRNA from 1 species